rnacentral:rRNA from 1 species
AGAGUUUGAUCCUGGCUCAGGACGAACGCUGGCGGCAUGCCUAACACAUGCAAGUCGAGCGAGUAGAUUCCCUUCGGGGAUGAAGCUAGCGGCGGACGGGUGAGUAACACGUGGGCAACCUGCCUCAUAGAGGGGAAUAGCCUUCCGAAAGGGAGAUUAAUACCGCAUAAGAUUGUAGCUUCGCAUGAAGUAGCAAUUAAAGGAGCAAUCCGCUAUGAGAUGGGCCCGCGGCGCAUUAGCUAGUUGGUGAGGUAACGGCUCACCAAGGCGACGAUGCGUAGCCGACCUGAGAGGGUGAUCGGCCACAUUGGGACUGAGACACGGCCCAGACUCCUACGGGAGGCAGCAGUGGGGAAUAUUGCACAAUGGGGGAAACCCUGAUGCAGCAAUGCCACGUGAGUGAUGACGGCCUUCGGGUUGUAAAGCUCUGUCUUCGGGGACGAUAAUGACGGUACCCGAGGAGGAAGCCACGGCUAACUACGUGCCAGCAGCCGCGGUAAUACGUAGGUGGCAAGCGUUGUCCGGAUUUACUGGGCGUAAAGGGAGCGUAGGUGGACUUUUAAGUGAGAUGUGAAAUACCCGAGCUCAACUUGGGUGCUGCAUUUCAAACUGGAAGUCUAGAGUGCAGGAGAGGAAAGCGGAAUUCCUAGUGUAGCGGUGA